rnacentral:rRNA from 1 species
CGGACGGGUGAGGAAUGCAUAGGAAUCUGCCCAGUAGCGGGGGACAACCUGGGGAAACUCAGGCUAAUACCGCAUAAGCCCUACGGGGGAAAGCGGGGGACCUUCGGGCCUCGCACUAUUGGAUGAGCCUAUGUCAGAUUAGCUUGUUGGUAGGGUAACGGCCUACCAAGGCGACGAUCUGUAGCUGGUCUGAGAGGACGAUCAGCCACACUGGGACUGAGACACGGCCCAG